rnacentral:lncRNA from 1 species
CUCCAUUUAAAAAAUUAUUCGUGAGAUAUUUGAUUCGGUAAAGACAAAGGCAAUGUGCCAUGGAGGAAUGCAGCCACACGGAAUGAUGCAACCACAAGCCGAGGAACACCAGUAGCCACUAGAAGCCUGAAGAGGCAAGGAACGGAUUCUCCCUGGAGCCUACCAAGGGAUUAUGGCCCUGCUGACACCUUGCUUUUGGCCCAGUGAUACUAUUAAACUUUCAAACUGCAGACUUCCAGAACUGUGAGAUAAUAAAUUUCUGUUGUUUUAG